GUUUAUUUCAUGUCAUUUACUCCAAAAGCAAGGUCCAGCUCCAAAGUGUUAUAGCCUUCAGUACUAAACAUGACUUGGUGAAAAAAUGGAAAAUGCCAAAGAUAUAUUGCAGGACGAUAGUUUCCCAAAGUCAGGACUGGAGAAGAGAGAAACUACCAAAAGAAUUAUCCCCAAAAGGAUAAUCCACUUUGCAAAUGGAGACACUAUAGAUGAAUAUAGCACAGAAGAAGAAGAUGAUGAGAAAGAAGAAUUAAAGAAUACUCCAACACUUGCUACUUCUAAACUUCCAUGGGGGCCAUACUUGCGAUUUUGGGCUGUACGAAUGACAAGCGCUACAUUUUCCAGUAAGUGCCUUCAUUUUAGCUCUUCAAGAUGACGAUUUCUCUUUUUGACACGG
rnacentral:lncRNA from 1 species